ACUGCUUCCUUUGGCACUACCUUCUAAAAUUGAACCAUGCAGAGAAGAUUAGCAUGGCUCCUAUGUAAGAAUGGCACACAGAUUUGUGAAAUAUUUCAUAUUUGU
ensembl:snRNA U6 U6 spliceosomal RNA